GCAUGUUUAUACACCUUACAGGCACCAGAUACCAUCUGAUCUUGGAAGCUAAAUAGGAUCAGGCCUAGUUAAUACUUGUAUAGGAUGCCAUUAGGUAAUAUACCAGGUAGUAUAGGCU
rnacentral:rRNA from 11 species